rnacentral:tRNA from 1 species
GUUCUUGUAGUUGAGUAUACAACGGUGGUUUUUCGAGCCGUUAGUCUUGGUUAGAGUCCAUGCGGGAAUU